AGAGUUUGAUCAUGGCUCAGAUUGAACGCUGGCGGCAGGCCUAACACAUGCAAGUCGAGCGGCAGCACAGAGAAACUUGUUUCUCGGGUGGCGAGCGGCGGACGGGUGAGUAAUGCCUGGGAAAUUGCCCUGAUGUGGGGGAUAACCAUUGGAAACGAUGGCUAAUACCGCAUGAUAGCUUCGGCUCAAAGAGGGGGACCUAGAUCGAAUCUAGUUGGUGAGGUAAGGGCUCACCAAGGCGACGAUCCCUAGCUGGUCUGAGAGGAUGAUCAGCCACACUGGAACUGAGACACGGUCCAGAGAUCGGAAGCUUCGGGUUGUAAAGCACUUUCAGUCGUGAGGAAGGUGGUAGUGUUAAUAGCACUAUCAUUUGACGUUAGCGACAGAAGAAGCACCGGCUAACUCCGUGCCAGCAGCCGCGGUAAUACGGAGGGUGCGAGCGUUAAUCGGAAUUACUGGGCGUAAAGCGCAUGCAGGUGGUUUGUUAAGUCAGAUGUGAAAGCCCGGGGCUCAACCUCGGAACUGCAUUUGAAACUGGCAGACUAGAGUACUGUAGAGGGGGGUAGAAUUUCAGGUGUAGCGGUGAAAUGCGUAGAGAUCUGAAGGAAUACCGGUGGCGAAGGCGGCCCCCUGGACAGAUACUGACACUCAGAUGCGAAAGCGUGGGGAGCAAACAGGAUUAGAUACCCUGGUAGUCCACGCUGUAAACGAUGUCUACUUGGAGGUUGUGGCCUUGAGCCGUGGCUUUCGGAGCUAACGCGUUAAGUAGACCGCCUGGGGAGUACGGUCGCAAGAUUAAAACUCAAAUGAAUUGACGGGGGCCCGCACAAGCGGUGGAGCAUGUGGUUUAAUUCGAUGCAACGCGAAGAACCUUACCUACUCUUGACAUCCAGAGAAGCCAGCGGAGACGCAGGUGUGCCUUCGGGAACUCUGAGACAGGUGCUGCAUGGCUGUCGUCAGCUCGUGUUGUGAAAUGUUGGGUUAAGUCCCGCAACGAGCGCAACCCUUAUCCUUGUUUGCCAGCGAGUAAUGUCGGGAACUCCAGGGAGACUGCCGGUGAUAAACCGGAGGAAGGUGGGGACGACGUCAAGUCAUCAUGGCCCUUACGAGUAGGGCUACACACGUGCUACAAUGGCGCAUACAGAGGGCGGCCAACUUGCGAAAGUGAGCGAAUCCCAAAAAGUGCGUCGUAGUCCGGAUUGGAGUCUGCAACUCGACUCCAUGAAGUCGGAAUCGCUAGUAAUCGUGGAUCAGAAUGCCACGGUGAAUACGUUCCCGGGCCUUGUACACACCGCCCGUCACACCAUGGGAGUGGGCUGCAAAAGAAGUGGGUAGUUUAACCUUCGGGAGGACGCUCACCACUUUGUGGUUCAUGACUGGGGUGAAGUCGUAACAAGGUAGCGCUAGGGGAACCUGGCGCUG
rnacentral:rRNA from 1 species